rnacentral:rRNA from 1 species
AGUGAACGCUGGCGGUAGGCCUAACGCAUGCAAGUCGAACGGCAGCACAGUAAGAGCUUGCUCUUACGGGUGGCGAGUGGCGGACGGGUGAGGAAUACAUCGGAAUCUACUUUUUCGUGGGGGAUAACGUAGGGAAACUUACGCUAAUACCGCAUACGACCUACGGGUGAAAGCAGGGGAUCUUCGGACCUUGCGCGAUUGAAUGAGCCGAUGUCGGAUUAGCUAGUUGGCGGGGUAAAGGCCCACCAAGGCGACGAUCCGUAGCUGGUCUGAGAGGAUGAUCAGCCACACUGGAACUGAGACACGGUCCAGACUCCUACGGGAGGCAGCAGUGGGGAAUAUUGGACAAUGGGCGCAAGCCUGAUCAAGCCAUACCGCGUGGGUGAAGAAGGCCUUCGGGUUGUAAAGCCCUUUUGUUGGGAAAGAAAAGCAGCAGGUUAAUACCCCGCUGUUCUGACGGUACCCAAAGAAUAAGCACCGGCUAACUUCGUG